AUUUCACGUCUAUGCAAAUAAUGUUAGCAGAUAUUCAGUGUCCUUCAAUCUUCCCUUUUCAAUUGGUGCAGUUGCAAGUUAUGCUUCCACUUUACCAUAUGUGUACUUUUUCUUGUGCUUUGGUUGUACUUCCUACCUAGAACAAAGAGGGUUUGAAAAUCAUUUUAAACUGGAGAGGAAGGUACAGAAGCAAACAGAGAAAGAAAAGGCAGUAGCUGGUUAUUAAAACAACUCAUUGACACCUCAACAAAUCAAAGAAUAAUGGGGUCCAGUCAUCUCAUCUGUAGUUUCAUUGG